rnacentral:rRNA from 1 species
AUGCUGUGAGCUCGAUGAGUAGGGCGGGACACGUGGUAUCCUGUCUGAAUAUGGGGGGACCAUCCUCCAAGGCUAAAUACUCCUGACUGACCGAUAGUGAACCAGUACCGUGAGGGAAAGGCGAAAAGAACCCCGGCGAGGGGAGUGAAACAGAACCUGAAACCGUGUACGUACAAGCAGUGGGAGCCCCACCACUAAGCCAGUGGUGAACUCCACAUACGCAUCCUUUGCGGAAGAUGCGGUUAACGGAGCGAAAGCGACGUUCAACCUCAGAAGAAGCAGAGGGGGCUUAGUGGUGGGGUGACUGCGUACCUUUUGUAUAAUGGGUCAGCGACUUAUAUUCUGUAGCAAGGUUAACCGCAUAGGGGAGCCGAAGGGAAACCGAGUCUUAAUUGGGCGUUAAGUUGCAGGGUAUAGACCCGAAACCCGGUGAUCUAGCCAUGGGCAGGUUGAAGGUUGGGUAACACUAACUGGAGGACCGAACCGACUAAUGUUGAAAAAUUAGCGGAUGACCUGUGGCUGGGGGUGAAAGGCCAAUCAAACCGGGAGAUAGCUGGUUCUCCCCGAAAGCUAUUUAGGUAGCGCCUCGUGAACUCAUCUCCGGGGGUAGAGCACUGUUUCGGCUAGGGGGCCAUCCCGGCUUACCAACCCGAUGCAAACUGCGAAUACCGGAGAAUGUUAUCACGGGAGACACACGGCGGGUGCUAACGUCCGUCGUGAAGAGGGAAACAACCCAGACCGCCAGCUAAGGUCCCAAAGUCAUGGUUAAGUGGGAAACGAUGUGGGAAGGCCCAGACAGCCAGGAUGUUGGCUUAGAAGCAGCCAUCAUUUAAAGAAAGCGUAAUAGCUCACUGGUCGAGUCGGCCUGCGCGGAAGAUGUAACGGGGCUAAACCAUGCAC